CCCGCCGAGCUUCGCUAUUGGCCAGCGGCGACCCCGCCCCUUCUCAAGCGAGAGGCGGCAACGCCGGGCCGGAAGUGAGGCCCUGUGCACCGCCCCCUCAGCCGCGAGCGCGGAUCCCGAACCGGCAUCCCGCGUCCCGGACCCGCAUCCCUCAUCCUGCAUCUCAGACCCGCAUCCUGCAUCUCGCCCCCCCCCCCGCGUCCCACUUUCCCGUCCCACCCCUGCGCUCCGCACCCCACCCCGUGUCCUACCCCUGCGACCCACCCCCCGCGUCACACCCCGCCAUCCCACCCCGCGACCCGGCCCCGCGUUCCCCAGCGCAGAAGGAGCCGCUGGAGCGGGAGGUGAAAGGAGACUUUAUGUAAUGUUGCCACAAGAAGAGCAUGGCAGAAUACUCUUCUUGUGCAAUGCAAGCCUUGAGAUGUAGCCUGCAUUCAGAAAGGAACUAUUGCUCUGUGCUUGGCAAGACACUGGAGGAACUCUCUCGAAUUAUCAGGAAAAUGGAGGUAAACAAGGCAUUUUUUUUGAGCACUAGUUACCCUCACAAGUGCAACACCAAGGACCUUGCCAUUGUUCCAAGGAAAUGUACUCCAUCGGCACUGUUGUAGGUUUUCCAUUCUGUUUUUGCUGAAGGAAACUACCACUGAUCAGCAAAAUAUCUGAACUUGACCCAACUAAGUGCAGAGGACCUUUUCCUUCCGGGCUUUAUGUCUAACUAACCACUAACACUCUUCACUGCUCUUAAGGAACUCUGACAGCACUAGGAAACACCAAACAGGCAUGCCAAGGUUGAAGACACCAAAUGACUUCCUCCAACAUGGUCAAAAUACAUCACUCACCUCCAUUAGGCAGGUUCCAGUCACGCACACUCUUAACACCAAUUUUUCUUCACAGAUCUCUAUUUUAAAAUGCUAUGCCUGACUCUCCAGAUCUAACAGCAAUGUAACAAGCAAUUUAAUUAAAAAAAGAACUAGUGGAAACCUGCCCUAUCAUUUUAGAAACGCUGCUUUAUAGAAAAUUCUGAGGAAAAAAAAAAAAGGAAAGCCAGACUUGCUACUGCCACGUGCUACAGUCAGUCAGCAGCACUCUAAAACGGCUGGAAAAGCAGGCUACAAAACAGGUUUUCUCUACUAAUCUAGACCUGUCUUUAGCAGAGGUAGGUAGGAGUAGGUCAAUGAAGAGAGAAUUAGAAAACAGUAUUUCAGAUGUAGUUUAGAGCCUGGGUGUUCUUCUCUACUCUUCCUUUAAUCUCUGUUGCUUCGUUUUUCUUUGUUGUUGCAAUAACCAUGUCAACCUACUUAUUUUUUAAAAACUGGACCCUGGUAGGCUGCAACAGAUGCAUGGCAUUAGUCAGUGGUUGCUCCCAGAGAGAGGAGUGACCAGUGUGGGUGAGAAGGAGGAAGAUUCAAGGAAGUUUCUUCACCGCAGAACUUCAAGCACCGCGUGCGAAGCCUGGCAGGCUCAGGUAUUAACCCACCAGCACAACUCAGUCACCUCAGUCUCAAACUUUGCUGUUGGCAGAUGCAGAUAUAAAAAUUUCAGCUUUCAGGGCACGGCUUCAACACUUCAGAACUCAACUGCGCAAUGAAUAAUAAGCAUGAAUUGAAAAUACACAUUUUAAGCAAAGAGAGAAUCCAGCCAAGUCUCUGAUGAACCAUUUUUUCUGUAGCCUGUUCUAAAAGCCUUUCAGGUUGUGGACACUAAGAAUAUGGCCACAGUGAAAUGUGUGUGUAAUCAUUUCAGUGCAGUCCUAUUCCAAACAGCAGACAGACAAUAAACAACAAAGUACAGAGUAUGCAAAAGAUUGAAAAGCUCUUAUUCCCAGAUUUUCUACCAUUUUUUAUUACUGUUUUAAGAUUAAUUAAAACAGAACUGCUAGACUUUUCUUCCAAAUGACCCUCUCCUUUAAAAGCAACAUUAAGACUUAAUAUAUGUUUAUAUGAAAUGUACUCUGAUUUCCCUUUUCCAGGUUCCUGUAACUAAAAAAUUCAAUAUAUAAGCCUAACGCUAAGAAACACCUUUAGUGGUCCUCAUGCUGCUUUGUGUUCCACAGAAAACAAAACUUCAGUUUAUUAUGUUCAUAGUCAUCAUUUGAAUUUUUAUUUUUUUCUCUUUAAUUUUCAACUUAUAGUUUGCUUACAGAGCCUUACUGAAAUCCCCAUUUUUUGCAUUCUUGUAUGCAACACAGCUAAAUGACAGUCACCUAAAAGAGAAAAAAAACCAACAAACCUAUCUGAAAUAGUUUCAAUAUCAGGAUUCAAAGGCUUAUCAAACUGAGCAUCUCCCAGAAUCUUAGCAGCAAAAUUCAACUACACAGAAAGGAGCAGGACAGAGCAAAUCAGCCCGUUCCCCCACUGAGAACCAGAGAUGACUAAGCCAUCUCUGUUGAGUUGAGCUCAGUAAGUUAAGCUGCUCUGUCAACCCAAAUGAAAUUUUGGUAAUUAUCAAACAGCUCUUGCAAGAACCAAAGCUCAUGAUUUUCCGUAAUCUUAAAAAGAGAGGAUCAAUUUCAAGAGAUCUUCAGUUCUAGAUAAGACCAUUGCAUUCAUGUUUCCCUGCUUGCUUAAAAUCACCUCUAAGGUUCUUCUCUGAUGAAAACUUUGCAAGCAAGAGUAGAGAAAUAAAAGCAGAUUAAUGUAGACAUCAUCCAGAAAAGGUAUUUUCCUCCCAGUUCUCAGGUUUUAACUUUUUAAACACCUGUUUCAAGAAAAGAGCAAUUAAAAAUGUGUGCCUCAAAAUUAAGCCUCCUGUAUGUGCAAACAUGGGGUUUUUUUAAGUCCUUCCUUACUCAAAGCAGCUCCCUCAGAAAUGCUUUCUCUCUCAACUGUAUUUAGGACUGCAGUCAAAGUCAUUAUAUAUUUGUUUAUGUCUUUUUAAACCUAUUAUUAGAUAGCAUUUGUCCUAGAACUGUAAAGAGCCGUGCAGGUCUCCCACAAACCUAUCCUACCACCAGAAGCCUUUAAUUUCCAUGGAUGCAAAACACAUACACAAAGAGCUAAUGAAUUGUCCCAAGGAAAAAAGAUUAACUCUUACUUUAAAUCAGACAGCAAGUUAUACACUUUUAUGAAGAAAUCUACUGAGACUUAAGACUGCUUCAAAGCAGGAACUGAAAUACAACUGCAGCUAUGAAUAAUAUACAAACUUUUUGAUCCAUAACUAAUCCUAGCUUCAUCUUUAAAAAAAAUUUAAAAAAAAAAUCACAGCAGCUGAAUAUAUAUGCAAAUAUACACAAACCCCCUGACCAGAGGUUAAUAAGUAACUGUGUUGGAUCAGAGCUUAGAGACCAUAAAUUGCAACCUGUGUUCACACAUCUCUAACCCAUCAGCUCUUGGGCUGGUGUGGAAGUGGAAAAUCUCAUCCCACACACUGUUUAGGUGACAUUAGAAUCUCAUGUUUUCUGUUCAGAUAUUACUCAGCAGAACAGUUACCUCUGAUAACGAUGCAGCCUCCCUCUCAUAUAAAAAGGCAAGAUGGUCAAAAUAUCCCCUUGAAUGCCCAACUGUACUGAAUCAAGAGACUGCUGCCAAGGAUUUAAUGCUCCAACACUAAUUUUCAAUAUUUUCAAACUUGAUAUGAAAACUGCAUUUUUUAUUACAGGGAGUAUAACAGUCAUUGGUCAUUUGCAUUCAUCCACCCCAGCACUAGUGCAGAAGUGCCUUCUGAAUAGGGAUGAGAAAACAGGGCAAGUUUUGUUACCAAGUUGUGUUUCUACUCAUCUUGCACUAGGCAGUGCAUGGAAGGUAGGUGAGCAGAAAUGCAACAAAUAUACCCCAUGUUUUCACAUACACAGAUGCCAUGUGCCUAUCUCAAAAAUACAGAAGUUCAGACGUGCAGCAAAACGUGUUAAAGCACUUUAAACGCUCUCCAGAUGACAAUGAGCAAUGCAAUACUCAGACAACUCAAAGCACAGUAAAACAUUUGUGCUUACACUUCAAGUUUCAGAAUAAAAUUAUUUCUAUCAGAGUAUCUGAAGUGCAACGAAAGGAAUGUUCCACUGAAAUCAGAAGCAAGAGACACCAUUUAAAGAACCGGGAAAAUAUGCGCAGGUCAGAUUACCACCUUAUAAUAAAUAAUAAAACAGCAGGAACAUGCAGACCUUAAAGUCAAAAUUUGUUUCUAGAUUCAUGAUAUGUAAAAAAAAAAAAAAAAAAAAAAAAGCAAAAAUCAAGAACAACCCUGUCUGAUUUCCCCACAUCUGAGGUCUUUUUGGCUAAACAACUGUUACUUUGUUGUAAGGAACACAGGUAUUGCCAGAAAACAUUAUUUACAGAAUGAUUAUCAGAUUGAUUACAUAAAAUAGAGAUGAAAAUAUACACCCUUAGGUUUGAGAUAAGCCAAGCAAAUUCACUGCUGCUAACUACAGCACUUUGAAGAAGGCGACAGGCACCAAAUAUCAAAGUUGAAUCACAAAACUACUUGAAGGAACAGACAAAUUUGGGAAGGUAGAGGUACAGCAAAGAUCAAUGAAGUUGGAAUGGUUUAUAAUUCAUACUAAUAUACCAGAAAUUAUUUAGCUUCAUUAAAACUCUAUUUCUCAUAUAUAAAACUGAAGAGAAAUCUUUACUCCCAGACUGUGAUUUCUACAGGUACUGAGCAGCUUUUUUCUUAGUGGAUCUAUGUAAUGCUUUGUACUCUACAUCUUAUAAAAUACAUCCCCACGUUUAAGUGCAUGACUAGAAACUGCGCUGAAAUCAUGGAAAAAGCGCUUCAUAAAUCACAGGCGCAAUAAAGUCACAACAAUGCUCAGCUCCAGUUUCUGGAAGCAGUUCUGUGAGAGGUGAAGUUUUAGAAAAGGGACUUCGAUCCCUGGUUUUCAAACUCUGACCACGCGUCGUUCAAUUCCAUGAAGAUCAUUUUGGCAUACUGCUCAUAAGGCUGUCCCGUGGCCUGAAGACAAACAGAACAUAUAAUAAGCAUUAAAAUAUUAGGAAUUAGGUGACUUAGAAAAGAUCUCACUCCUUUUAUAUUUGUCCUCUUAUUCAACAACUUUAGACUGAUUUGUGAACAUAAUUUUGCAGACACGUAACUCUCUCUAACCUUAUCCAAAGCUUGCCACAAGUAUUCUAAACAAAACCAAACCCUUGGAUUCCUUAAAUUAUCUUCAAGCUUACAGAGCAAUUCAUAAAUAACUGAAACUUAGCUAAAAACAGUUUUCAAAGCUCUUUCCAUAAAAAGUUUUAGUUAUUAUCACUUAACCGAUCAAAUAAGUAACUUUUGCAUUUGCUUCCUGAGACAGCUUGCAGUGGUGCACAAGGAUAAAAUCUGAGUACUUUUUAAAGACAACUCCUUCUGGAUGGGAUUUUUUGGAGUAAAAUCUGUUGCUGAUUGUCACUGAUGUUAAGAUUCAUGCAAUUCAUGUAACAUGAAUUACAUUGCACUUCCUGUGCGUUUCCUUCCACACUCAAAGACAGUAUUGAUCACGAUUCCCUGCCUAUUUCACAGCAGCCCUGACUCUGGGCCCAACACAACCCAACCCUCGUGGUUCAUAGAGAUCCAGUCCCAAAACAGGAAUUAUUUUACCAGGUUCUUUCCAACACAAAAGGGAAGCUUCAGAGCCCUUUCCAGUAUCCUUCCCCUUCUCCUGCUGCUUAGCUCUUGCCAGCUGCAGUACUGUAUUGACUCUUUUAGAGGGUUCUUUAGUGGAUAAGUGGCAGAAAAAAAUAAAUGAGAAAGAAGACUGUGUCUCAAAGAGACCGGUUUUCUGACACUGAUGCACUGAGGAGCCUCCAGAAAACACCAAAAAAAACAUCACAAGGGUAAAAGAAGCCACAUAGCCAAAAAUACUGAAGGACAGGGGGGAGAAAAAAACCCAAAGAGUGUGUUGUUUUUUUCUGUUAUGGACACAAGACAACACAGAAUUGAGACUACUGCUCACUGAACCACCAGUGACAGCAAGCCUGAAAAUUCAAACCAGGUAUAUUCAAUGCUUAUCUUUGUAUCUAAAAUACAACUCAGAGCAAUAGCUCAGAACAAGAAGGUACCUUCAUACACUGGAAGACUAACAAACCAUGGAAUGCAUUAAAUAUUUUAAAAAGACUACUGGAAUAUCACACUUAUCACAUACUUUUCAUCUGAUCAUUUGUUUACUAAAGUAUACUUUUUCUAGUAAAAAUUGUUUAGUAAACAAGUUUCAGCAGGUUUUUCCUAAUGGUUUUGCUAUGGCAGCCUCUGAGUCUCCAUUUACAGGUGCAUAGUCCUAAAAGACCUGAAAUAUCAGCUCACGGAAAUAAGCCAGAUUCCACUAACCAGCACUAAACCUGCCUGCAGUCAGAAUCCAGCAUAACUGACUUUGGUGCUCAGUACAUCUUUCAUAGGAUGUUUCAUUUAUUAAUGCUUACCUGUUGAAUUCUGUUCUGUGUCAGGACGACAAGAAAAAUCCCAGACUACCUGAAUGCAGCAGGACACCACAUUCAGAAGACAACAGAAGCAAAGUGAAGAGCACCUAGAGUGCUGAUCAAGAAGCAAGGCAUUUUCCAGUGACUAGUACAGUGUGGUAAAAGCAGCUUGUAGUCCUUCUAAAGUAAAGAAGAUCAGAGGACCACACUUACCUUAUCUGGAUGAACUACAAGGACUGCUUUCCUGUAGUACUUCUUUACUUGUUCAGGAGUUACUAAAUCUGCCAUGCUGACUGGUUUCCACUUAGUUUCCCCUUCCCAAAGCACUGUAUGAAGAGUGGAUAUUAAUGCUCUGAUAUUUCUCUCCUUUCCUUCAAUCCAUUCAAGAAUCUGGGAAAAUCAGAAUAUAUAGAACUGAAUGCAGCACUGUAAGGAUUCUCAGUCUUUCUACAGACAUAAUCCUCAUUCUGUGCACAAUUACAAUUUUAAGACUCAAGCACAGUUGUCUUACUGCACUCACUCCCCAAGUUCAACUGUUUUAGCCAUCUGAAAGUGAAACUUUUCAUCUACCACUCAGGAGUAGUUCACUGUUAUUAGUUUACUGCAAAAAUUCAGUCAUUGCAAGAGAUAUUACUGAGAUAGUUACAUAUCACAAACCUCUGUAAAAACAAUGACAAGGCAAUUGUCAGGAGUAAUUAAAAGCAUCUGUUACAAUUAGAUGUUACAUUCAAAUUACAUUAAUCUUGUCCCCGUCAGGGCACAAGGUUAAUUUACUAAAACUCUUACCUGAUUUGUAAAAAAGCAUAAGUGCACAAGCAUUGUACAAAAGAUCAUGUAUAUUAAUAGUCAAUGUUUACUUAAGCAACUGGCAGAGGAGCACAAACUAAAGUGUUCUUGGAGAUAUCCCCGACAAAGUUAUUCUGAUAACUGGCCAUUUCCAAAUUUAACAGCAAUAUUCAAGCCACUGAUAUAGUGAUAGUGUUUUCAUUGAAUGCUUAUGUAAUAUGACAAUCUCUGCCAUCUAUCAACAAUGAGUAUGGUAAAUAAAAAUCUGUAUUUAUUUCCA